GACGAACGCUGGCGGCGUGCCUAAUACAUGCAAGUAGAACGCUGAAGGAGGAGCUUGCUUCUCUGGAUGAGUUGCGAACGGGUGAGUAACGCGUAGGUAACCUGCCUGGUAGCGGGGGAUAACUAUUGGAAACGAUAGCUAAUACCGCAUAAUAGUAGAUGUUGCAUGACAUUUGCUUAAAAGGUGCAAUUGCAUCACUACCAGAUGGACCUGCGUUGUAUUAGCUAGUUGGUGGGGUAACGGCUCACCAAGGCGACGAUACAUAGCCGACCUGAGAGGGUGAUCGGCCACACUGGGACUGAGACACGGCCCAGACUCCUACGGGAGGCAGCAGUAGGGAAUCCUCGGCAAUGGACGGAAGUCUGACCGAGCAACGCCGCGUGAGUGAAGAAGGUUUUCGGAUCGUAAAGCUCUGUUGUAAGAGAAGAACGAGUGUGAGAGUGGAAAGUUCACACUGUGACGGUAUCUACCA
rnacentral:rRNA from 1 species